UAUAAGUAUCUUAUUAUGAAGUUGUUUGUUUCUCUCUGUGAGUUUGUGACUAUUGUGUGUUUGUCAGGCUUCACUCGUCCUAAAGUGAGCGUCCUGCCGCCCUCCAGUGAAGAGAUUUCCACAAAGAAAACAGCAACACUGAUGUGUGUGCUCAACAAGGGUUUCCCCUCAGACUGGAGUGUGAUGUGGAAGGUGGACGGGAGCAGCAGAUCUCAGGACAGCAGUGUUGGGCUCCUGGAGAAGGACGGUCUGUACAGCUGGAGCAGCAGUCUGACUCUCUCUGAGCAGGAGUGGAGCUCAGUGCUCUCAGUGAGCUGUGAGGCCAAACACAAAGAUCCCAGUCAUACAGUCACUGGAGAAUUCAGGAGAGAUGAUGAGUGUUCACACUAGACUCUCUCUCUCUCUCUCUCUCUCUCUCUCCUCUGACUUCUGUUCUCAUCUGAGUCUCACUCAUGUCUCACAUGUGUUUCUACAUUCAUUCUCUCUCUCAUCUGACAUCUGCUCUGCUUUUCACAAACAACAUCACAAACCAGUGCAUGUGUGCUUUAUUCA